UACGGGGGGGGCAAGCGUUGUUCGGAAUUACUGGGCGUAAAGCGCGUGUAGGCGGCAGGGCAAGUCGGAUGUGAAAGCCCACGGCUCAACCGUGGAAGUGCACCCGAAACUGCCUCGCUAGAGUCUCGGAGAGGAAGGUGGAAUGCUUGGUGUAGAGGUGAAAUUCGUAGAUAUCAAGCGGAACACCGGUGGCGAAGGCGGCCUUCUGGACGAUGACUGACGCUGAGACGCGAAAGCGUGGGGAGCAAACAGG
rnacentral:rRNA from 1 species